AUGCUUACUUUGGCAGCACAUAAACUAAAAUUGGAAAAUACAGAAAAGAUUAACAUCGCCCAUGUGAAAGGAUAAUAUGCAGAUUUGUGAAGCAUUCCAUAUUUUU